rnacentral:rRNA from 1 species
UACAGAGGUCUCAAGCGUUGUUCGGAUUCAUUGGGCGUAAAGGGUGCGUAGGUGGCGUCGUAAGUCAGGUGUGAAAUCUCGGGGCUUAACUCCGAAACUGCAUUUGAUACUGCGGUGCUUGAGGACUGGAGAGGAGACUGGAAUUUACGGUGUAGCAGUGAAAUGCGUAGAGAUCGUAAGGAAGACCAGUGGCGAAGGCGGGUCUCUGGACAGUUCCUGACACUGAGACACGAAGGCCAGGGGAGCAAACGGG